GGGUGACUAGCUCAAUGGUAGAGUGCAUCACUCGCACUGAUGAGGCUAGGGGUUCGAUUCCCCUGUCAUCCA